GACAGAGGUGCCGAGCGUUAGGCGGAAUCACUGGGCUUAAAGCGUGUGUAGGCGGGCGGGCAAGUACCUUGUGAAAUCCCACGGCUCAACCGUGGAACUGCUGGGUAUACUGCCUGUCUUGAGCCAGCCAGGGGCAGUCGGAACAGACGGUGGAGCGGUGAAAUGCGUAGAUAUCGGGAGGAACACCAGAGGCGAAGGCGGCGCACUGGACAGCAACUGACACUCAACUGCGAAAGCGUGGGGAGCAAACAGG
rnacentral:rRNA from 1 species